rnacentral:RNase_P_RNA from 1 species
GGCAGCGGGAGGCCGGUCCCCGUGCCCGAGACGCCCGGUCCGAUCGUGACCGAAUGUGGCCAACGGGCAUGAGGAAAGUCCCCCCACCGUCCGGGCAGGCGACCGGGUGCAAACCCGGGGCGGGAGACCGUCGGCACUGGAACAGCAACGAGACCCCUCGUCACGACCGAUGAGGUGUGCGAACCCCGAGCGAGAAAGGUCGUCGGAUCGAUCGCCGUAAGGCGGCCGCUCCGCGGGCGACAAAGCGACGGGGAGUGAACCCACCGAGGGUACUCGUGUCGGCACCGCCGACACGCUGACGGACGAGAACGGAUGGAACGGCGAAUCCUCGCCGGUGCAAGUCCGUGCGACUGGUAGUCCGGACACGGCACGGACGCACAGCCGAAUGCCGGCUCGAACAGAAGGGGGCUCACUCCCCGCAGCC